rnacentral:rRNA from 1 species
AUUGAACGCUGGCGGCAUGCUUUACACAUGCAAGUCGGACGGCAGCACAGAGAAGCUUGCUUCUUGGGUGGCGAGUGGCGAACGGGUGAGUAAUAUAUCGGAACGUACCGAGUAAUGGGGGAUAACUAAUCGAAAGAUUAGCUAAUACCGCAUAUUCUCUGAGGAGGAAAGCAGGGGACCUUCGGGCCUUGCGUUAUUCGAGCGGCCGAUAUCUGGUUAGCUAGUUGGUGGGGUAAAGGCCUACCAAGGCGACGAUCAGUAGCGGGUCUGAGAGGAUGAUCCGCCACACUGGGACUGAGACACGGCCCAGACUCCUACGGGAGGCAGCAGUGGGGAAUUUUGGACAAUGGGCGCAAGCCUGAUCCAGCCAUGCCGCGUGUCUGAAGAAGGCCUUCGGGUUGUAAAGGACUUUUGUCAGGGAAGAAAAGGCUGUUGCUAAUAUCGACAGCUGAUGACGGUACCUGAAGAAUAAGCACCGGCUAACUACGU